UACCGGCGGCUCGAGUGGUGGCCACUAUUACUGGGCUUAAAGCGUUCGUAGCUGGUUUGUUAAGUCUCUGGGGAAAUCUUCCGGCUUAACCGGAAGGCGUCUCAGGGAUACUGGCAGACUAGGGACCGGAAGAGGUGAGAGGUACUCCAGGGGUAGGAGUGAAAUCCUGUAAUCCUUGGGGGACCACCUGUGGCGAAGGCGUCUCACCAGGACGGCUCCGACAGUGAGGGACGAAAGCUGGGGGAGCAAACCGGAUUAGAUACCCGGGUAGUCCCAGCCGUAAACGAUGUGCAUUAGGUGUAUCGGUGACCACGAGUCACCGAGGUGCCGAAGAGAAAUCGUGAAAUGCACCGCCUGGGAAGUACGGUCGCAAGGCUGAAACUUAAAGGAAUUGGCGGGGGAGCACCACAACAGGUGGAGCCUGCGGUUUAAUCGGAUUCAACGCCGGA
rnacentral:rRNA from 1 species